UAGGGAUACUGAUAAGAAGAGAGGGGGUGGGAUAGAGAAUGGAGGGGGCAGCGGAGAGAACAGAACAGCCCUCUUUUUGUUCCAGCCUCUAUACUCCCAUCCCUUUGCUUCCUUUUUUACCUUGAUCU